rnacentral:tRNA from 1 species
GGGUCCAUAGCUCUGUGGCAGAGCAUUUUACUGCAGAUCAAGAUGUCACCGGUUCGAACCCGGUUGGGCCCU